GACGAACGCUGGCGGCGUGCUUAACACAUGCAAGUCGAACGGAAAGGCCCUGCUUUUGUUGGGUGCUCGAGUGGCGAACGGGUGAGUAACACGUGAGUAACCUGCCCUUGACUUUGGGAUAACUUCAGGAAACUGGGGCUAAUACCGGAUAGGAGCUCCUGCUGCAUGGUGGGGGUUGGAACGUUUCGGCGGUUGAGGAUGGACUCGCGGCUUAUCAGCUUGUUGGUGGGGUAGUGGCUUACCAAGGGUUUGACGGGUAGCCGGCCUGAGAGGGUGACCGGCCACAUUGGGACUGAGAUACGGCCCAGACUCCUACGGGAGGCAGCAGUGGGGAAUAAUGCACAAUGGGCGGAAGCCUGAUGCAGCAAAGCCGCGUGCGGGAUGACGGCCUUCGGGUUGUAAACCGCUUUCGCCUGUGACGAAGCGUGAGUGACGGUAAUGGGUAAAGAAGCACCGGCUAACUACGUG
rnacentral:rRNA from 1 species